AUAUCUAGUUAAAUAAGUCAUUAUAAAUAGUUGCUCCGUGGGCUUUCCGCAUUUCACCCUGCUCCAGGCAGCGUGGUCUGUAUGGCUCCGCCCUGGGCAGGAGGAGAAAGAAGAGGGCCAGGCACCACGUGCCUGCACUCUCCCUGGAUGCUGGAGGCUGCUCCGCCGUGGGCAGGAGGAGAAGGAAGAGAACUGGGUGCCGCCUGCCUGCACUCUCUCCGGAUGCUGGAGGCUGGAGGCAGUGAGGCAGCAACAGCGCGAGGGCGAGGCGACUUUGGAGCUGCCUCAUGCAGCGACCUCGCCUUCCGCUGCGCCUCCUCCCAGAACCCAAGAAGCCUGGAACCUGUGGCGUCCAGCCCUGAAAGGAGGAGACGGCAACCCAGCCGCGCGUGAGUCCGGGAGUCUGGGAUACCGGCGGCAGAGGAAGGACAGGCAGGAGUCUCGGCCUCUCGGGGAGCGACGUGCCGGGAAAGGCAGGAGGGCCCCAGCGGUGGGGGCGGGGGUUGCGCGCCGGGGAGGGCGGCCUCAGGCUGGGAGCCUGGCAGAUCGUCUGACUCUCCCCGAGCCCCAUCCCAGGCCGAGCCAGGACCCCUCUGAUGCACAGGCGUCUCAGGAGCCCGUUUCUUUCUUGAAUCCGGGGCCCAGUGCGGCUUGAACCUAGCCCCCGACCUCCUCCUCGCCCUCUCAGAGUCCGCUGGGGUGGGCGCUGAAGGAGCCCGGGUCGGAGAGGAGCCCUCCCCUUCUCUCCUGCGUGGAAGCCCUGCAGCCUCCGUUUCUUUUGGGACUGGGGUCCGGGGCCUUCUGCCUGACCCGGGGUGAGAAAGGGAGCCCUGAUCAGGACCCGGUGAGAGGGCGCUGGAGCCCGGGAGCGGCAGGAGCCUUGAGCGGCAGCCCGGGAAGAGGAUGGGGUCACCUUCUGCCCCAGGUCCCCCACUGCCAGGAUCUCUGUCACCUUCUGGGGGUCCUGUCCCCUGGGGUCCCACCCCCCGGGCUGCCUGUGGGUAUCUCUCAUCUGGAACUGGAAAUAACCCUCUUCAUAUUUUGCCUGCACUCUCCCUGGAUGCUGGAGGCUGGAGGCAGUGACGCAGCAACAGCGCGAGGCGACUUUGGAGCGGCCUCAUAUAGCGACCUCGCCUUCCGCUGCGCGUCCUCCCAGAGCCCAAGAAGCCCGGAACCUGUGGCAUCCAUCUCUGAAAGGAGAAGACGGCAACCCAGCCGAGGCACUACUGGGUUGGGGUCUCCACGACCGAGCUGGUCUCAUCAAGUGGCGUCCAACAAGGGGCUCAAACCCGGGUUGAGGGGUUGCUGGAGCGACGGAGAACGUGGAACUACACUGGAGGACACCAGAGUACUCUUAAGCAAUCCCUUGGCCAAAACCAGCAACUGAUUUGGAUACCAUCAAGACACCUGAAAUCUUGUCAUGAGCCAGAUACUGAGGAAGAGAUUUUGGGAAGAACCCAAGGACCCCCCAGUUGCAGCCAUGUCAAGACUGACAAUAAGGAAGACAUCAGUCCCAGCAAGCAACAUUCAUCGGGCACAGCCACCCAUGUGGGGCCAGAUCAAGAAGUUGACACAGAUGGCGGAAGAAAAUCUGAAGAAAGCGGAUGACCAGCUACAAUGAGUAAUCUAAUGGUAGCUAUGAUGGCUGUGCUCACCAUUGCCAUGAGUAUUCCCCCAGCACCUGCUGAAACAAAAAACAUUAUACUUAUUGGGCAUAUAUUCCUUUUCCACCAGUUUCAUGGCCAGUGACAUGGUUAGACCCCCCAGUGGAGGUAUACACUAAUGAUAGCUUUUGGAUACCUGGUUCUACAGAUGAUAGAGGCCCAUCUCACCCCCAAAAGGAGGGAACAAUUAUGAAUAUUUCGUUGGGAUUUGAGCAUUUAACUACUUGCUUGGGAAAAGCCAACAGGUGCUUACCUCCCAGUCAUCAAUCUUGGCUGGCAAUAGUGCCUGAAGGUAACAUCUCUGUGGCACAAUUACAUAUGCUUUCUGACCUUAGUAUUUAUUACAAUGAUUAUGCCCCUGUAACCAAAGUUUACCGCCCUCAAAAACCUAUCUGUAUAGUGGAUUGAACAUGUUCAGAAAAAAAUGAAGAUAUUUACUUGGGAAGAUUGUAUUGCAGGGCAAGCAAAGGUGUUGUGUAAUGAUUCAUAUGGAGUCACUAUUGAUUGGUCCCCUAAAGGGGCAUUUAUAAGGCUCACUUCUCAAUCUGUAGGUAAUGGUCACCCUGCAUCUAAAGAAAAUGAUCAGAUGGUAGACACUAUAAAAAAUACAACAAAAGUUCCUAUUAUUUGGACAUAUGGUGAUAUGGUGGAACCUCGACCCCAAAUGAUACGACCUGCUGUAGGAGCUAAACAUAAGGAAUUGUGGAAAAUAUUAAUGGCACUGAAAAAGAUAAAAGAUUUGGGAAGGGAAAUAUACUAAGCCAUCCCAAUAUAAUCCUAAUUACAUGUUAGAAUUGGCUCACAAUGAUUCAGUCUGGAUACAUAGUUGUGUCUGUCCUCCCUUUCUGCUUGUAGUGAGUGAUUUAAAACUUGAUCUCCCUAAUCAUCAUGUGACUGUCAAGAAUGUAGAUUGUUUUCUUGUGUGAAUUCUUCCUUGUAUAAUACUGAUCAUUCUAUCUUAGUGGUAAGAGCCCGAGAAGGAGUAUGGAUACCUGUAAAGCUUUCCCGUCCUUGAGAAGCCUCUCCUUCUGUGCAUAUUAUUACUGAAAUUCUUCAAAAGAUUUUGAGGCACUCUCAGGGUUUCAUUGCUACUUUAAUCAUUAUGGGAUUGAUUGCUGUCACAGCUACUGCCACGGUAGCUGGAGUUGCUUUACCAACACAGUACAAACAGCAGAUUAUGUAAAUAAUUGGCAGAAAAAUUCUACUUUGCUGUGGAAUUCCCAAACUAAUAUACACCAGAAAUUAACCAAUCAGAUUAAUGAUCUCCGACAAACUAUCGUAUGGUUGGGAGAUCAUGUAGUUAGUUUAAAAUAUAGAAUGCAGUUAACAAUGUGAUUGAAAUACUUCUGAUUUUUGCAUUACUCCUCACCUGUAUAAUGAAACAGAGCAUGAGUGGGAAAGAGUUAAGAGACAUUUAAAGGAUCAUACUGGAAAUUUAUCUUUGGAUAUUGCAAAACUGAAGGAACACAUAUUUCAAGCCUCUCAGGCACAUCUGACAUUAAUGACAGGAACUAAAGUGCUUGAAGGAGCUGCAGAUGGAUUAGCAGCUAUUCACCCAUACAAGUGGAUCAAGACACUUGGAGACUUUGUGAUUUCAAUGAUGAUUGUGCCUUUAAUCUGUAUUGUUUGUCUUUGUGUAGUCUGCAGAUGUGGAUCCCGAAUCCUGCGAGAAGUAGCCCACCAUGACGAAGCUGCCUUUGCUUUUAUCGCUUUGCAAAAACAGAAAAGGGGACAUGCUGGGAACAGGCCCUAAGCCUGUCAUAAACAGGCCUUAAACUGACCAUGAACAGGAUUUCUGCACGAAUGUGACGUGCUCCUGAUGGCUAUGACGCCCACUGCUAGAAGUUGUUAGUUUACUGGAGCAGGGUAGGGAACACCUGGCCCACCCGGAGCGGAAAACUGCUCAAACCACAAACAACAGCAUGAGUGGCCUGAGCCUUAACAACAUGUUUUUGCUGCAGAUAAUCGGCCAGAGACUGUUUCUCUACUCCUCUCUAAGUAUGCUUUGUUUUUCGUAAGGAAUGCUUUUAGCUAAUCUGUAACCUAUAGAAACAAUGCUUAUCACUGGCUUGCUGUCAAUAAACAUGUGGGUCAAACUCUGUUUGUGGCUCUCAGCUCUCAAGGCUGUUUUCCCCCUGAUUCCCACUUUGCACUUUAUUUCUGUGUGUUUGUCUUCAUUCCUCUAGCACCACUGGGUUGGGGUCUCCUUGACCAAGCUGGUCUCGGCACAUAUGCAUGUAUGCCCAGGUCCUGAAAUCAGCCUUGUGGAGCCUGUGGGUAGGAAAAGUCAACCCUCUGUGCAUGUAGGCCUGGAACCUGACCAAUACUGUAUUUUCCUACCACGUUUGGUUUCAAAUGUGGAAACUGCCCAUACGGACCUACUGCAUUUGUUUUUAAAAAUCCUCUGUAAGUGGACCUGCACAGUUCAGGCCCAGAUUGUUCCAGGAUCAACCCUACAGUAGAAAUCAAGUAUCUUUUUCAUUGUCUCUUGGGAUCUGCCUUUUCACCAAUAAAAUAUGAGGGCUGUUGGGAGCAGGCCCCCCCAAAUCUGGCCAUAAACUGUCCCCAAAACUGGCCAUAAACAAAAUCUCUGCAGCACUAUAACAUGUUCAUAAUGGCCAUAACGCCCAAGUUGGAAGGUUGUGGAUUUACAGGAAUGAGGGCAAGGAACACCUGGCCUGCCCAGGGUGGAAAACCACUUAAAGGCAUUCUUAAGCCACAAACAAUAGCAUGAGUGAUCUGUGCCUUAAGAACAUGCUCCUGCUGCAGUUAACUAGCCCAACAUAUUCCUUUAAUUCAGUCCAUCCCUUCGUUUCCCAUAAGGGAUACUUUUAGUUAAUUUAAUAUCUAUAGAAAGAAUGCUAAUGACUGGUUUGCUGUUAAUAAAUACGUGGGUAAAUCUCUGUUUGGGGCUCUCAACUCUGAAGGCUGUGAGACCCCUGAUUUCCCACUUGA
rnacentral:lncRNA from 1 species